CAGCUGUACACACUCUAAACUGCUUGUGUUUUCUUCCCAUCUUCCGAUCCCUCUACUGACCUCUCUGGCCACUUUUUGUCAUUACAGGUAAAAAUAUAUAUAUAUACAAUCAAUAAACUUUUACGCUGUGACACUUCGGGCCAAAGGUCUUGCUACGCUGUGAUUGAUAUUAGAUGCCAGUCCUCACUCCUCUCCUUACCAUCUGAGGCUUGCCAUGCGUCCCGAUUGCGAUGUCCUUUUAAGGGGUGUGGUGAGCCGUUGAAACUUCUCGGGUGGUAUGAUUUUUUCUUAUCUGUACCAGUUUAAUGUUUUUCAUCUGUAUGUUAUUAUUUUCAACACAUUGUCAUUUAUUUGUUUUCUAGAAAAGUUGUCUGUUACACUUUCUGACUCCACACAUACUUCGGUCCCUGAAGAAGGAAACCCGAAACGCGUUGGGCCCAGUAUUUAUAUUGUGGACUCUUCACCUCUUUUCCAAUACACCCUAUUAAUGUGUUGUUUUUAAACCUUUGUACUAUAUACGUUUACUGAACGUUGUUUGAUGCCGUCCUGUUAUUAUUAAACUAUUAUAUAUUUUGUAUCUACCAUGACUACUUGUACUACUGUUGCCUAAAAAGCCCCACCCUGGGGGAUCCUCCAUUUUUUUCUGUUCAUCAGGGGUGUCGGCAACUAUUUGAGACCAAACCAUAAUAGAUGUUCUAUUCAUACUU